rnacentral:ribozyme from 1 species
AACAAAAAGAAAAAAGAACUAAAAAAAUGCAAAAAAGCAAUGAUAAAAUACAUCUUUCUUUUUC